GAUGAAGAACGUAGCAAAAUGCGAUACUUGGUGUGAAUUGCAGAAUCCCGUGAACCAUCGAGUUUUUGAACGCAAGUUGCGCCCGAAGCCUUUUGGCCGAGGGCACGUCUGCCUGGGCGUCACGCAUCGCGUCGCCCCCCACAAUUCUCCGUAAAGGGAACAUGUGUUUUGGGGGCGGAUAUUGGUCUCCCGUGCUCAUGGCGUGGUUGGCCGAAAUAGGAGUCCUUUCGAUGGACGCACGAACUAGUGGUGGUCGUAAAAACCCUCGUCUUUUGUUUCGUGCUGUUGCUCGCAAGGUAAACUCUUUAAAAACCCCAAUGUGUCGUCUCUUGACGACGCUUCGACCGCGACCCCAGGUCAGGCGGGACUACCUGCUGAGUUUAAGCAUAUCAAUAAGCGGAGGA
rnacentral:misc_RNA from 1 species